AACGAACGCUGGCGGCAUGCCUAACACAUGCAAGUCGAACGAGACCUUCGGGUCUUGUGGCGCACGGGUGCGUAACGCGUGGGAACCUGCCCUUAGGUUCGGAAUAACUCCCCGAAAGGGGUGCUAAUACCGGAUAAUGUCUUCGGACCAAAGAUUUAUCGCCUUUGGAUGGGCCCGCGUUGGAUUAGCUAGUUGUUAGGGUAAAAGCCUACCAAGGCGACGAUCCAUAGCUUGUCUGAGAGGAUGAUCAGCCACACUGGGACUGGGACACGGCCCAGACUCCUACGGGAGGCAGCAGUGGGGAAUAUUGGACAGUGGGCGAAAGCCUGAUCCAGCAAUGCCGCGUGAGUGAUGAAGGCCUUAGGGUUGUAAAGCUCUUUUACCCGGGAUGAUAAUGACAGUACCGGGAGAAUAAGCUCCGGCUAACUCCGUG
rnacentral:rRNA from 1 species